rnacentral:lncRNA from 1 species
GCUAGGUUAACGGUUGGACUUAUGAUCUUAAAGGUGUUUCCCAACCUAAACUAUUCUAUGAUUCUAUAAGCUCAUUCUAGUGAUUCUAGGAGUAUACAUGUAAUCAACUCUAUUCAUAGUAUCUAAUAUUUUUUAUUUAGAAAAGCUUGGUAUUCAAUUUACCAGACUUUUUGCAUUGCUAGAUGGCAAGAUAUUCCUAUUUGAAGAACUUUUCUGUCUCUAGUGCCUAGGACAUUGAGGCAAAAAUGUGUGGUGUCAAAAAAAAGGUCACUUCUGGCAUUGAGCAUAUUAUUUGGGGCAAUUUGAUCUCUAUCUACCAGAAAGGUUUCGUCUGAGAAAAAUGCUGGUGGUGAUGGGAAGGAUACAGACCUCACCAGAGGAGGAGAGAUAAGAGACUUUCAUCAGAUGUAAAACAGCAUUCCCAGAGGAUAUCAGCAAUGACCAACGGACUAAUUUCUCUCAUCCUGCCCAUUUCUGGGGUUGCUUUUCAUCAUGGUCACUGCUUCCUUUUCCAGCCUCAAAAACAGUUUUCUCAAUCAUCUUGGGCACUGAGUUGGUGCCUCAGCACUUGGAUCUGUGUUCUAUGAUCUUCUUUUCAGAGUGUUCUCUCAUUUGUCCCUGUCCAUGUGAUGUUUUUCUGACACUAUUUUUUCUUCUUGUGCCACUUUAUCACUGUUUUUCUCCAUGACGUGCUGUUAAAAGAGGUGAGAUAUCUGGAAAAAAAUUAGAUUUAGCAGGAAAAAAAGAAGCAGCUCACCAAAAAACUACCUAGAAAGUAAGUAGUUUUUCUUUUUCUAAUUUCUUAUAUGUGUGUGUGUGCUGGUAUCUUAAAAUCUACAUUCAUGAUUUUAUCUACAACAUAGGGCUUAUUUUGUAAAUGAGCUUCAACACUCUAUCAAAUUGUAAUUAUUCAUGAAUAGUCUCUCUUUAUUGUUAAUGAUAUGCAUCACACUAACAGAGUUUGAUAUGCUGAUUAUAAGAAUAAAGUUCAUCUGAGGUAACA